CCUACGGGUGGCAGCAGUGGGGAAUAUUGCACAAUGGGGGGAACCCUGAUGCAGCGACGCCGCGUGAGUGAAGAAGUAUUUCGGUAUGUAAAGCUCUAUCAGCAGGGAAGAAAGUGACGGUGCCUGACUAAGAAGCCCCGGCUAACUACGUGACAGCAGCCGCGGUAAUACGUAGGGGGCAAGCGUUAUCCGGAUUUACUGGGUGUAAAGGGGGCGCAGACGGCUGUGCAAGGCUGGAGUGAAAGGCGGGGGCCCAACCCCCGGACUGCUCUGGAAACUGUAAAGCUGGAGUGCAGGAGAGGUAAGCGGAAUUCCUAGGGUAGCGGUGAAAUGCGUAGAUAUUAGGAGGAACACCAGUGGCGAAGGCGGCUUACUGGACUGCAACUGACGUUGAGGCUCGAAAGCGUGGGGAGCAAACAGGAUUAGAUACCCGGGUAGUC
rnacentral:rRNA from 1 species